CGAGAUGGUACCGCAGACAUGUGACAGUAUUUAGGUGGACUUACGGAAGCAUGGACCUGCAGAAUCCAGACCACCACAGUUGGUGUCUGGUGUGGAGAUGCAGAAACUGCCAAGCAAAUGUGGAGCUGAAUAAACACUGGGCAGCAUGAUCAAGAUUUCCACUCAUCACCCAAGGCGAUAAUGGACGACACCCACAGCUUUCACAUUCCGGAGCGUGUGCUGAAGGCGACGGCAGCGCCGAACAAUGGCCGGGUGGUAUACGACCUCCUGUGGAGCGCGCUGAACAUGGGCCUA